rnacentral:rRNA from 1 species
GCGUCUGAUUAGCUAGUUGGUAAGGUAACGGCUUACCAAGGCAACGAUCAGUAGCCGACCUGAGAGGGUAAUCGGCCACAUUGGAACUGAGACACGGUCCAAACUCCUACGGGAGGCAGCAGUGGGGAAUAUUGCACAAUGGGCGAAAGCCUGAUGCAGCAACGCCGCGUGAGCGAUGAAGGCCUUUGGGUCGUAAAGCUCUGUCCUUGGGGAAGAAAAAAAUGACGGUACCCUUGGAGGAAGCCCCGGCUAACUACGUGCCAGCAGCCGCGGUAAUACGUAGGGGGCAAGCGUUAUCCGGAAUUAUUGGGCGUAAAGAGUGCGUAGGUGGUUUUAUAAGCGCAGGGUGAAAGGCAAUGGCUCAACUAUUGUAAGCCUUGCGAACUGUGAGACUUGAGUGCAGGAGAGGAAAGUGGAAUUCCUAGUGUAGCGGUGAAAUGCGUAGAUAUUAGGAGGAACACCAGUGGCGAAGGCGACUUUCUGGACUGUUACUGACACUGAGGCACGAAAGCGUGGGGAGCAAACAGGAUUAGAUACCCUGGUAGUCCACGCCGUAAACGAUGAGCACUAGGUGUCGGGGUCGCAAGACUUCGGUGCCGCAGUUAACGCAUUAA